GAAACACAGGGGAUUGCCUCAGUAACGGCGAGUGAAGCGGCAACAGCUCAAAUUUGAAAUCUGGCUCCCUUGGGGGCCCGAGUUGUAAUUUGUAGAGGAUGCUUCGGCGUGUGCCCCGGUCUAAGUUCCUUGGAACAGGACGUCACAGAGGGUGAGAAUCCCGUACGUGGCCGUGGGUGCCCGCCAUGUGAAGCUCCUUCGACGAGUCGAGUUGUUUGGGAAUGCAGCUCUAAAUGGGAGGUAAAUUUCUUCUAAAGCUAAAUACUGGCCAGAGACCGAUAGCGCACAAGUAGAGUGAUCGAAAGAUGAAAAGCACUUUGGAAAGAGAGUCAAAAAGUACGUGAAAUUGUUGAAAGGGAAGCGCUUGCAACCAGACCUGUCUGCAGUUGCUCAUCCGGGCUCCUGCCCGGUGCACUCUUCUGCAGUCAGGCCAGCAUCAGUUCUGGCGGUCGGAUAAAGGCGGUGGGAAUGUGGCUCCUCUCGGGGAGUGUUAUAGCCCAUCGUGCAAUGCGGCCAGCCGGGACUGAGGUCCGCGCUUCGGCUAGGAUGCUGGCGUAAUGGUUGUAAGCGGCCCGUCUUGAAACACGGACCAAGGAGUCUAACAUCUGUGCGAGUGUUUGGGUGUCAAGCCCAGGCGCGCAAUGAAAGUGAACGGAGGCGGGAACCUUCGGGUGCACCGUCGACCGAUCCUGAUGUCUUCGGAUGGAUUUGAGUAAGAGCAUAUAUGUUGGGACCCGAAAGAUGGUGAACUAUGCCUGAAUAGGGUGAAGCCAGAGGAAACUCUGGUGGAGGCUCGCAGCGGUUCUGACGUGCAAAUCGAUCGUCAAAUUUGGGCAUAGGGGCGAAAGACUAAUCGAACUAUCUAGUAGCUGGUUCCUGCCGAAGUUUCCCUCAGGAACGACAACCAGCUACAAGAUAGUUCGAAUAAG
rnacentral:rRNA from 1 species